rnacentral:rRNA from 1 species
AGUGCAUCAGGCGGAUGCCUUGGCGAUGAUAGGCGACGAAGGACGUGUAAGCCUGCGAAAAGCGCGGGGGAGCUGGCAAUAAAGCUAUGAUUCCGCGAUGUCCGAAUGGGGAAACCCACUGCAUUCUGUGCAGUAUCCUAAGUUGAAUACAUAGGCUUAGAGAAGCGAACCCGGAGAACUGAACCAUCUAAGUACCCGGAGGAAAAGAAAUCAACCGAGAUUCCGCAAGUAGUGGCGAGCGAACGCGGAGGAGCCUGUACGUAAUAACUGUCGAGAUAGAAGAACAAGCUGGGAAGCUUGACCAUAGCGGGUGACAGUCCCGUAUUCGAAAUCUCAACAGCGGUACUAAGCGUACGAAAAGUAGGGCGGGACACGUGAAAUCCUGUCUGAAUAUGGGGGGACCAUCCUCCAAGGCUAAAUACUCAUCAUCGACCGAUAGUGAACCAGUACCGUGAGGGAAAGGCGAAAAGAACCCCGGGAGGGGAGUGAAACAGAACCUGAAACCUGAUGCAUACAAACAGUGGGAGCGCCCUAGUGGUGUGACUGCGUACCUUUUGUAUAAUGGGUCAACGACUUACAUUCAGUAGCGAGCUUAACCGGAUAGGGGAGGCGUAGGGAAACCGAGUCUUAAUAGGGCGAUGAGUUGCUGGGUGCAGACCCGAAACCGAGUGAUCUAUCCAUGGCCAGGUUGAAGGUGCCGUAACAGGUACUGGAGGACCGAACCCACGCAUGUUGCAAAAUGCGGGGAUGAGCUGUGGGUAGGGGUGAAAGGCUAAACAAACUCGGAGAUAGCUGGUUCUCCCCGAAAACUAUUUAGGUAGUGCCUCGAGCAAGACACUGAUGGGGGUAAAGCACUGUUAUGGCUAGGGGGUUAUUGCAACUUACCAACCCAUGGCAAACUCAGAAUACCAUCAAGUGGUUCCUCGGGAGACAGACAGCGGGUGCUAACGUCCGUUGUCAAGAGGGAAACAACCCAGACCGCCGGCUAAGGUCCCAAAUGAUAGAUUAAGUGGUAAACGAAGUGGGAAGGCACAGACAGCCAGGAUGUUGGCUUAGAAGCAGCCAUCAUUUAAAGAAAGCGUAAUAGCUCACUGGUCGAGUCGUCCUGCGCGGAAGAUGUAACGGGGCUCAAAUCUAUAACCGAAGCUGCGGAUGCCGGUUUACCGGCAUGGUAGGGGAGCGUUCUGUAGGCUGAUGAAGGUGCAUUGUAAAGUGUGCUGGAGGUAUCAGAAGUGCGAAUGUUGACAUGAGUAGCGAUAAAGCGGGUGAAAAGCCCGCUCGCCGAAAGCCCAAGGUUUCCUACGCAACGUUCAUCGGCGUAGGGUAAGUCGGCCCCUAAGGCGAGGCAGAAAUGCGUAGUCGAUGGGAAACAGGUUAAUAUUCCUGUACUUGAUUCAAAUGCGAUGUGGGGACGGAGAAGGUUAGGUUGGCAAGCUGUUGGAAUAGCUUGUUUAAGCCGGUAGGUGGAAGACUUAGGCAAAUCCGGGUUUUCUUAACACCGAGAAGUGAUGACGAGUGUCUACGGACACGAAGCAACCGAUACCACGCUUCCAGGAAAAGCCACUAAGCUUCAGUUUGAAUCGAACCGUACCGCAAACCGACACAGGUGGGCAGGAUGAGAAUUCUAAGGCGCUUGAGAGAACUCGGGAGAAGGAACUCGGCAAAUUGAUACCGUAACUUCGGGAGAAGGUAUGCCCUCUAAGGUUAAGGACUUGCUCCGUAAGCCCCGGAGGGUCGCAGAGAAUAGGUGGCUGCGACUGUUUAUUAAAAACACAGCACUCUGCCAACACGAAAGUGGACGUAUAGGGUGUGACGCCUGCCCGGUGCCGGAAGGUUAAUUGAAGAUGUGCAAGCAUCGGAUCGAAGCCCCGGUAAACGGCGGCCGUAACUAUAACGGUCCUAAGGUAGCGAAAUUCCUUGUCGGGUAAGUUCCGACCCGCACGAAUGGCGUAACGAUGGCCACACUGUCUCCUCCCGAGACUCAGCGAAGUUGAAGUGGUUGUGAAGAUGCAAUCUACCCGCUGCUAGACGGAAAGACCCCGUGAACCUUUACUGUAGCUUUGCAUUGGACUUUGAAGUCACUUGUGUAGGAUAGGUGGGAGGCUUGGAAGCAGAGACGCCAGUCUCUGUGGAGUCGUCCUUGAAAUACCACCCUGGUGUCUUUGAGGUUCUAACCCAGACCCGUCAUCCGGGUCGGGGACCGUGCAUGGUAGGCAGUUUGACUGGGGCGGUCUCCUCCCAAAGCGUAACGGAGGAGUUCGAAGGUUACCUAGGUCCGGUCGGAAAUCGGACUGAUAGUGCAAUGGCAAAAGGUAGCUUAACUGCGAGACCGACAAGUCGGGCAGGUGCGAAAGCAGGACAUAGUGAUCCGGUGGUUCUGUAUGGAAGGGCCAUCGCUCAACGGAUAAAAGGUACUCCGGGGAUAACAGGCUGAUUCCGCCCAAGAGUUCAUAUCGACGGCGGAGUUUGGCACCUCGAUGUCGGCUCAUCACAUCCUGGGGCUGUAGUCGGUCCCAAGGGUAUGGCUGUUCGCCAUUUAAAGUGGUACGUGAGCUGGGUUUAAAACGUCGUGAGACAGUUUGGUCCCUAUCUGCAGUGGGCGUUGGAAGUUUGACGGGGGCUGCUCCUAGUACGAGAGGACCGGAGUGGACGAACCUCUGGUGUACCGGUUGUAACGCCAGUUGCAUAGCCGGGUAGCUAAGUUCGGAAGAGAUAAGCGCUGAAAGCAUCUAAGCGCGAAACUCGCCUGAAGAUGAGACUUCCCUUGCGGUUUAACCGCACUAAAGGGUCGUUCGAGACCAGGACGUUGA